UACGUAGGGUGCAGGCGUUAAUCGGAAUUACUGGGCGUAAAGCGUGCGCAGGCGGUUUGCUAAGACAGGUGGGAAAUCCCCGGGCUUAACCUGGGAACUGCGCUUGUAACUGGCAAGCUUGAGUGUGGCAGAGGGGGGUGGAAUUCCACGUGUAGCAGUGAAAUGCGUAGAGAUGUGGAGGAACACCGAUGGCGAAGGCAGCCCCCUGGGCUAACACUGACUCUCAUGCACGAAAGCGUGGGGAGCAAACAGG
rnacentral:rRNA from 1 species